GGGUGCCCAAAGUGCUGUUUGUGCAGGUAGCUAACCUGAGAGCCUACUGCAAAACCAGCACUUCCCGACACACAGAGGCACU
ensembl:miRNA mir93 microRNA 93